AUGUCGUAAAAGGGCUGAACGAGUGUGGAUAUGAUUGGGUACAUAGAGGUAGUUAUUCCACGCGGACGCAGUCUUGCGUAAAAGCCAGUAUAUUCAUCUACCACCUACUGAUAAAUAAUAUUACAACUACUGGCUAGCUGGAGCAUUGUUUUCGAACGAUACCAUGGCUUACAUAUCGACCGCGACCACUGUAUUAAUAUGUUUAAUUCAAAUUUUUCAAGUUUUUAGUAACCCUUAUAUGAAUGAUUUAGGCGUAUUAAAACGACGACCUGUGAUACCCCUUAAAGACAUAAGAGAAAGGUACAACGAUAAUGGUCGAAAAAACUUCAAAAUUACAUUUGGAAACCAAGAAGUAGGAAAAAACCACUACACAGAUGAAGAUAUAAAUUGGCACGAUUUACGAAGAGCCAAUAAUGCGGAUGAUGCUAUUGAAGACCAGAUGCGUUGGUUACAUUUUGGAAAUGAGGACGGCAUGCAAGUCGAAAUAGGAUAAAAGUUAUUCAGCACAUAAGUAUUACUUAGUUGUUGUAUAAACGUGUUUCUAAAAUAAAUAGGUAUUCUAGUUGAAGGAAUAAUAGGGUAUUUUCCUACUAGUCAAAUCAGUUACUUUUUUAGAACUGUCAAAACGAUUUGCUAAUAUGGAAUUUAUAUGAAACAUUACAUCGUGACGUCACGGUCAACUCACCUACUUUUCAUAUAUCUAUCCGAUUUAUUAAAUAGAACUUGUGUUUAAAAAUAACUCCUAUCUGUGUUUUUCUAAUAAUUAUCUGGUGCUUUAUUACAUGCAUGGUGUAAAAUAAUUUAUUUUAAAUACAGUAUAAUACCCUAUUGUGACACCAAGCACACGAUCAUAUUUAACAGAGAGUUUUGACUCUUCGUGAAAACCGUAGAUAACACAAUAACACGCUUUCUGAAUUUCGACAUUGUUUUCUUCCUUCUGAAAAUAACAUUACCUAUAAGCAAGUGUAUAAAGUUUUAGUCACAAAUACUGCUACGUAAUAGUUUUUACAACAAUAAAACGAUAUUAUUUAUUCACAUA